CCUACGGGGGGCAGCAGUGAGGAAUAUUGGUCAAUGGCCGGAAGGCUGAACCAGCCAAGCCGCGUGAAGGUCAGUGCCCCAUGGGCGUUAAACUUCUUUUGUGCGGGAGCAAUAAUGGUCACGUGUGGCCAGACGAGAGUACCGUACGAAUAAGCAUCGGCUAACUCCGUGCCAGCAGCCGCGGUGAUACGGGGGAUGCAAGCGUUAUCCGGAUUUUUUGGGUUUAAAGGGUGCGUAGGCUGUGAGGUAAGUCAGCGGUGAAAUGACUCCGCUCAACGGGGUGAAGUGCCAUUGAUACUGCCUUGCUGGAAUGCGGAUGACGUGGGAGGAAUGUGUGGUGUAGCGGUGAAAUGCAUAGAUAUCACACAGAACACCGAUUGCGAAGGCAUCUCACGAAUCCGCGAUUGACGCUGAUGCACGAAAGCGUGGGUAUCAAACAGGAUUAGAUACCCUAGUAGUC
rnacentral:rRNA from 1 species